rnacentral:tRNA from 2 species
CGCGGGAUGGAGCAGUCGGCAGCUCGUCGGGCUCAUAACCCGAAGGUCGAAGGUUCAAGUCCUUCUCCCGCAACCA